AAGUAGUUUAAUAUUUAUCGCAUUAACCCAACGAUAUCUCGAGCGUUGUCAUCCAAUCACGUCACACCAAUGCGCAUGUGCCACAUCUCCCGUGUGUUAAUAGAUGAAGUCUUCUUUCCUACAUUGUUAGGCGUGAGUUGGUUAAGGCGAUUAUCUUUCUGUUACGCAAUUGUUUCUCGUGACAACAAGUUUACUUUCGUCACCACUGAUAAAGCUUUUUCAAAUGCACCCGGGACAAUAACUUUUUUGGAGAAUUGCCGAUGAUUAAGCAAAAUCCUGACCUUCCAGCCCAGGAUCAUCAUUACGGUAUAGGUCACGAACAAUUGUUCAGAGCUAACUAGCGAGAUAUGAGUAGGUUUGAUGAAUCGACUUCUGUUAAGUUCCCGCCAACUUGCCAAGCGUUAGUUUGUGUUUAGACCUUGGUUAUAGUGCAACGGUGUAACUCUUUGUGGAUAUUUGUUGUUACUUGGCGAUAAAAUUAACUGGCGUGGGUUCGCCCGAUGACGGUAAUAGUGAUACAAAGUGAAAACAGCAAGAGAAUGGGAAAAACAGAGCUGCGGAGAGAAAACGUGAAUGUAAUUGUAAACUAAUGCAGGUGGCUGCGAUAAUCAAGAUGGCUGACCUUGUCAAGACAUUUGUGCCUUUACAGUAGUCGCAGAAUUUAGCAAGUUUGAGGAUAUGCAUGAGCUAAAUGAAGAUUUCAAAGGCGCGAGGAUCACUUUAAUUUGCUUUAUAGACAUGAAAAGCUUAACGUUAAUAUACUUAGCAAAUGGCUGGUAGCAAGUCCACAAAACGGUUGUACACCAUUGGUGAUGCAGGAACCACUUCUGGAAAUGUAUAGGCCUAGGCACAUUUUGUUGUUCAUUCACGGCAUUCCACAGAAAAGCUGAAUUAUGGACGCUGAUUGUCUUGCAGAAAUACAUAAUACUGAUGAUCCUACCAAAGAUUGAGGUUAGUCUCAUUGUUAUGAAGUUAGGUAAAUAGACAAAAGUUUAUGAAAAGCAGUUUGCAAAGCUAUGUGAAAAAUGCAAGUUUAUUUGUAUGGCACCAUUUUUAUCAGUAUGCUCAUGAGACUGCUGAUAACUUCAUGAAUUAGGCCGAUCCUGGUAAAAUAUGAAUCUAGGAUGAAGCUCUGGAAACCCUUUUUGUCGUCUACUUGGUGAAAGAAAAAGGAUUAGAAACUGAAAUACCUUAGGCUUAGGCUGUAGGACAGCCGUCGCUUUCCCCGGUUGACGACCUCACAGUGACUACUUUUGCCGCUCGCACCAGACCCCCUAAGCAAGAUUCAGUAAUGGUCACAGAAGCUCAUGUCCCAAGGCAUCAGGCGUUCAGAGGUGGUCGCUCAUCGAAAGACCGUUCGAUGGAAGCCGUUUGGAGAUCAUCGCUCUAAUGGAUGGAAAGGCUCGAAUAAAAUUCGCAGUAACGCGGCCCGUCUGGAUCAGGAAUCUCUGGAAUCGGGGCCUCUGAGGGGAAUAUGGUGACUGAUGAUGGUGAACGCCGGCCUUCGGCUGUCCGGGAGAUGCGUCUAAUUGGGCACUUUGGUAUUACGAAAAGUGUCGAUAUGCAUAGCACGUACAAGCUGGAAGAAGAAGAAGAAGAAGAAGAAGAGGGAGAAGAAGAGUGUUAUACAGCUUAAAAGUUCCUGAUGGAAAAGUUCUAAGAAUCCGAAGUUGAUGUGUAGCACUUUAACAAGGAAGUUCUACAUCUGGCAAGUGGAAUUUUAAGUAUCGAAGGAAUAUUACAAGAUUCCCCCCAAGUAUUCUUCAGUACAAUUUUUUACUAGAAUUUGCCAUUGUAAUCAUUAAUUGUUGUUCAGUGUUAUUUAAAUAUCAAGCUAUUAUGUUAAAUAUGGUAGAGGAUACAUCCUGUUCCUGUCAGUUUUAAUACCAGCCAUCAGGUGAGUUAUAACACUACUAUGAGAUUCAGGGCCUCUGUAACUUUUUAUCUGUGCAUUUCAUAAAUAUAACGCUUAUUCAGAAUACACA